rnacentral:lncRNA from 1 species
AAAAAAAAAAAAACUAAGUUAUUUUAAGCAAAUAGAAAAAUAUAAUUUAUCUAUCAAUAAAACAAUUUUUCCUUUUUUUUUUUUUUUUUUAAAAAACUAUUGUAUAUAUACAUAUUUUUUCAAUUAUAAUUUGAUUUUUACUAUAAUUAUCAUUACAUAAUUUAAAACAUAAGUAUACAUGGAAUUAUUUUUUUUAUAAAAAAAUAUUCUUUUAAAUAACUUACAUAUAUAUUUUGUAAAAAUAGGAAGAGUAGUAAAAAAUGAGUAUAUAUAAUUUUUGUUUUGUAGGACAAAAAUAUUGUUUAUAAUAUUAAUAUAUAAUGCAUAUGUGAUUUAUUCAGUUAAUUGUAUAAGCUACGUAUAUACAUAAAAAAUAAAUAUAUAUGUAUUAUAUAUAUAUAUAUAUAUAUCAUCUGUAUAUAUUAAUUUUUUAAACAUAAAUUUAAAUGGUUUUAACAUUUCUUAAAAAAAAAAAAAAAGUUUUAUAAAUCAUUAAUAUGCAGCUCCAUACUUUUUUUUAAAAACUUCCUCUUUAUUUUAUAUUUUUAUUUUGCUCAUUUCUAUAUAUAUUUUGCUUUUUUCUAUUAUUAAUUUUUUCAUUUUAUUUUUUUUUCUGCGUAUUUUUUAUAUAAAUACUUAUAUUUAUGAUAAAUCAAGAACAACAGAAAAAAAAAAAAUGAAUCAUAUAGGUGAAAACAAAGAAUCAGAUGAUCAUGAGCAUCAUAUUGCUGGGUCAACAUUGUACGUUUCAAAUUUAAGUUCAAGAAUAACUACUUGGAAACUUCAAGAUUUAUUUGGGCAAUAUGGAACUAUAGAAAAAUGCCACGUUAUCAGUAAUCCAAUUACAAAGUAAGAAAAAAAGAAGAAAAACAAAAAUUAUAUUUUUGGAAUUAUUUAAAUGGCAUGUAUAUAAAUGUACGUGUUUGUAUAUAUACAUUCUUUCUGUAACACAUAUUCUUUAAACUUUGGGUUAUAUGUGUAUUUUUUUGUAAAUGUGUAACUUAAACUGCAUCUAAUAAUUUUAUUUAUUCUUAUACCAACAGAGAAUCAAGACAAUUCGGAUUUGUCACUUUUCACACACCUGAUGAAGCACAAAAUGCAAUGAAUAAAGCAGAUAAAAUGGAUAUAG